rnacentral:rRNA from 1 species
AGAGUUUGAUCCUGGCUCAGGACGAACGCUGGCGGUGUGCUUCACACAUGCAAGUCGAGCGAAUGAAGAAGGUAGCUUGCUACUUUUGGAUUUAGCGGCGGACGGGUGAGUAAUAUAUAGGAAUCUGCCCUAGAGCGGGGAACAACAGACCGAAAGGUUUGCUAAUGCCCCAUAGGUACGCAGUCUUCGGAUUGUUUAUUAAAGGAGUAAUCCACUCUAGGAUGAGCCUGUAUCCGAUUAGCUAGUUGGCAGGGUAAAGGCCCACCAAGGCUACGAUCGGUAGUUGGUCUGAGAGGAUGAUCAGCCACAAUGGGACUGAGACACGGCCCAUACUCCUACGGGAGGCAGCAGUGGGGAAUUUUACACAAUGGGGGAAACCCUGAUGUAGCGACACCGCGUGAACGAAGAAGCCUUUUGGGGUGUAAAGUUCUGUCGGCUGGAACGAAAAAAAUGACGGUACCAGCAAAGGAAGCAUCGGCUAACUACGUGCCAGCAGCCGCGGUAAGACGUAGGAUGCAAGCGUUGUCCGGAUUUAUUGGGCGUAAAGAGUUCGUAGGCGGUUAUUUAAGUCUGGUGUUAAAUACUGUGGCCCAACCACAGAACUGCAUUGGAUACUGGAUGACUUGAGUGCGGUAGAGGCGAGUGGAAUUCCCAGUGUAGCGGUGAAAUGCGUAGA